rnacentral:rRNA from 1 species
GUGGUCGGUGUACAGGUGGUGCAUGGCUGUCGUCAGCUCGUGUCGUGAGAUGUUGGGUUAAGUCCCGCAACGAGCGCAACCCUUGUCUUAUGUUGCCAGCACGUAAUGGUGGGGACUCGUAAGAGACUGCCGGGGUCAACUCGGAGGAAGGUGGGGACGACGUCAAGUCAUCAUGCCCCUUAUGUCCAGGGCUUCACACAUGCUACAAUGGCCAGUACAGAGGGCUGCGAGACCGUGAGGUGGAGCGAAUCCCUUAAAGCUGGUCUCAGUUCGGAUCGGGGUCUGCAACUCGACCCCGUGAAGUCGGAGUCGCUAGUAAUCGCAGAUCAGCAACGCUGCGGUGAAUACGUUCCCGGGCCUU